AUGUAUAUCUUAUGCCUUUGGUAGCAUUGUGGUUUCACGCUUUCCUUGCAACUUCAAUAAACCUGUGGACAACGGGAAGACUGUCUUCAGAGUCUUGAUGUUAGGAAGGCGUUUAGCUGGCUGUCAAGUUAUAUACAGGACACAUAUAAUGAGGGCAGCACAAUAUGAGUAGCAUGGAUUCAUAUCCCAUAAAUACAUGUUGAGAGAACGAAAGAGUGUGAGAAAGAAGAGAAAUGAAGAGGAAUGAAUUGAUUGUGCACAGAAUAAUAGACUUGAGCACAGGAAGAACAUUGCGACAGAGAGCAGUAAGGCGUGGCCUGUGCCUUUGCUGUGCAGAGGAACCACUCUCUCAGAAGCAAAGUGUACUGUACCUGAUGAGCAGCCUAAAUCAGACAAAAGGAAGCAAAAGUACCAUAAAGCAGGGGAAUGCAACCGGGAUGCAGGAAGAUGUGAUAAUGCAGGGAGAAGGCCAUGAUGGGGGAAAUGCAACAGUGAGACGGGGAGCAUGCGAUGGACCAGGGAGAAUGUUUGUGACACCACCACCACCAGCAGCAAGACUUACAUGUAAUCGGCCUACAAAGCUAGCUGAGCAGCCAAAGCUGAGGCUGAGUCUGGACGUAUAUGAAAGGAGUAGGCGCAGAAGGAGCAGAGGCCCAUUGUUGAAGAGAGGUGGAGGAGAUCCCUUGCAUUGAAACGGAGGAGAUAGUAUUCAUUCUAAAUGAAUAAACUGAAUAUGCUGAGGAGAUAGAUUACACUUGUGAAGAACCUUUAAAAAUGAUGAUUAAACGAUGCUUGACAUGGGGUGAUUGCCUGAGGUUAGAACAGCUUUAGCUUUAGCUUUAGAAUGUUUCAUAUAAAACUAAGUGAUUGAGGUGAAAUGCUAACUAAGAAAGGAGAUGCCUGAAGUAGUGAAUUAAGGGAUUCUAAGAGGCCAUAGAAUGCUAAAUGGAAUACGCUGCAUAAAGCAAGUGCUGAAAUCAACCCCCUCUAAGCAGCAUAGAUGCAGAACUUGGAGUGUGAUAGGGCGUGCUAAACCUUCUAUGUGCAGACCUGGCUGAAUCUCAAUGUAAAAUAGUUCUCUAGCUAAUGCAGCUAGCCCCUCAAGAAGAGGAACAGGCGUGGGAUUUGGGCUGGCAGUGACUCUGGUAGAUCUUAAAAUUAAAUGGGAUAAGAGUCAGUGAUUACAAAAUUUACCAGGCAUGUGCUGUCAGUGAAGAUGAAAUUGUUCCUAACAACCACAAACAAUGUGAUCACAUUUAAAGGUGAACCCCAUAUUUAUAAUAUUGACUUGUUGACACAUAGUACAGAACUCUUUGCAAUGCUACUGACGACUCUGAAUGCAGGCAGCUGCAAUGGGGGUAAUCUCAUUAUCAUUAUCAUUACUGCAUCCUCGGCCCCAAACCCCCCAAAAUAACCUACGAUGGAGUCGCUUUUUAAAAAAUAUAUAUAUUAUAUUUACACUAUAUUUACAUGCUCACAAACUAAUUGUUUGUGCAAAUGUGAGACUUAAGAGGCCAGAUGACAUCUUGCAUAUUAAUAAUAUGCUUGGGGAGAAUAAUCAGAGGCCCAUUGUAUUUUUAUUUUUUUAUUUAUUAUCUACUGAACCAACUCUACUUUUCG